AACGAACGCUGGCGGCAUGCCUAACACAUGCAAGUCGAACGAAGCCUUCGGGCUUAGUUGCGCACGCGUGCGUAACGCGUGGGAAUCUGCCCCUUGCUUCGGAAUAACAGUUAUUAAUGACUGCUAAUACCGGAUGAAUUCUUCUGAUCAAAGAUUUAUCGUCAAGGGGUGAGCCCGCGUAGGUUUAGGUAGUUGGGGUGGUAAAGGCCUACCAAGACGACGAUCCUUAGCUGGUGUGAGAGGAUGAUCAGCCACACUGUGAGUGAGACACGACCCAGACUCCUACGGGAGGCAGCAGUGGGGAAUAUUAGACAAUCGACGUAAGUGUAGUACAGCAAUGCCGCGUGAGUGAUGAAGGUCUUAGGAUUGUAAAGCCAUGUUAACAGGGAUGAUAAUGACAGUAACUGGAGAAUAAGGCACGGCCAACUUCGUG
rnacentral:rRNA from 1 species